UUUUUUUUUAAUGCUGGAAGAGCUGGGGGCGGUGUGUGUGUGUGUGCUUUUCUUGUCAGACGCACCCCAGUUGCAUUAGUUACCUGCGAAGGGGAAUUGUGAAAGCAGGCAAAGAUCGAAACACCUCUCUGCCUUUCUUCAGGUUCUCUUGGAAAGGGCGGGUCUGUGAGGGGGAAGCGCCCUGCACGCAAAGGCGUUUUGCAGGAGGCAGGAGCCUCCUCCCGAUCCGGGAGGGGCCCGGGAGUCUGCGCCCAAAGCCAUACCAAGAGGGUUAGAGACAAAAAUGAAGAGGAGAUGGAGAUAUGGAAGGACAAAUGCAACAAACGUAUUGAAAAGAAACUUUGAAGGUUGGAAAUACAGCCUGAAAGGUUAAUAUGAGACGAAUUUACAUCUUAAACAAUCAGCCUUAUCACUGAAGGACAUGCUAGGUUUGUAAACAACAUCUAGGAGAGAUAAAGGUAAAAUAAGGAAGUAACUACACGAGUCCCUUCACGGACCUAUGCAUUUACCCACUAUCCCAUCACCUCAGUCAAGGCCAAGACUCUGAUUUCCUUAAGAAGUUCAAGGGGUUGGAAGUUCUCUUUGGAAGAGGAAAGCAUAUCCACUCUCCUUUCACUUUUCCUUCACCUAAAGGACCCCUUGAAGCAGUGCUGCUUCAAUGUCUUGCAGAGUUUUUGUUUGUUCACUAGUGACACAGGACUUUUCGCUCAAGACCGUCUGCCCCACUGGACUCUAACCUGUGAGCCCUGGAACCGAACAGAGGCUCAGGAGGUAAAUAUGAGUGAUAAGUGUCCACGUUUCCUUGAACCAGGUGUCCUGCCCCAGUAGAUUAAACAGGCUCAGAUAUUUCUGUUUAUUCAUUAGACUUGAGCUGGACCCUGCACUGUAUUUCCAUGAAACUGAUUAGUGAUAAUAUUUACAUUAUUAAUAAUAAUGGCUGACUUUCAAUUUGUACUUAGUAGAUACUGUAAACAUUGCUGAGUGCUUUAUAGGCAGCUUCUCACUUCAUUUUCACCAGUCCUCUAGAAAGUAAGUAAUGCUGUAAUCUUCAUUUUACAGAUAAGAACACUGAGGUGUAGAGAGGUUGCAUGCUUUGAGAGACACCACAGCUUUGAGAGGAUCUAUUGUGGUUGUUUGAGCCAGGGAAUUGCCGUUCCAAUAGUGGCUCUAUCACUUUCUAACUGUGUGACUUUUGGUGAGCUUCUUAGCCUCUCUGUGUUAGUUUCCUUAACUAUUGUAUAACUCCUGCUUCAUUAGGCUAUUGCAGGUAUUAAAUGAGUUAAUGGUCCUUGGCCUAUUGUAAGUGCUGUAUAGGUACUUUUACAAAAAGGAAAAUGAAGUCCAGGUUGCUUCAGCCCACAUAUUAUGGUCUCCCUAAGAUGAAGACUAUGCUUUUCCUCCUAAUGGAUAUAGUUAGGAGACAGAUCCUAAUAAGAUAUCCUGCUGCAGUGAUUGUCUCUCUUGACCAUACAGCAGAAUCAUCUGAGGAGCUUUAAAAACUACUGACCCUGGAGUUCCCAUGGUGGCUCAGUGAGUUAAGACCCCAACAUAGU